CUGCACCGCGCCGCCGCCAUUUUGUGUCUGAGCCUGUGGAGCGAUUAAACCGUGCGCGGAGCUGCUUCUUUGGCGGCAGCGGCGGCGGCGGUAGCCGGUGCGGACGCGCGGAGCUCGCCGGAGACGCCGGGUGGCCGGAGCCGUGGAGCGGCGGCGGAGCGGGCGCCGCGGGGGGUGUGGCGCGGAGAAUGAUUACGGACCAGAAGCCAAAGAACAAGAUGCGCUAGUGGACAGAUUGCUGACCAGGGGCUUGAGAGCUGGGUUCUAUUUUCCCUCCUCAAACUGACUUUGCAGCCACGGAGAGGCAGGGGAAAUGGAAGGUGAUGCAGUCGAAGCCAUUGUGGAGGAGUCCGAAACUUUUAUUAAAGGAAAGGAGAGAAAGACUUACCAGAGACGCCGGGAAGGGGGCCAGGAAGAAGAUGCCUGCCACUUACCCCAGAACCAGACGGAUGGGGGUGAGGUGGUCCAGGAUGUCAACAGCAGUGUACAGAUGGUGAUGAUGGAACAGCUGGACCCCACCCUUCUUCAGAUGAAGACUGAAGUAAUGGAGGGCACAGUGGCUCCAGAAGCAGAGGCUGCUGUGGACGAUACCCAGAUUAUAACUUUACAGGUUGUAAAUAUGGAGGAACAGCCCAUAAACAUAGGAGAACUUCAGCUUGUUCAAGUACCUGUUCCUGUGACUGUACCUGUUGCUACCACUUCAGUAGAAGAACUUCAGGGGGCUUAUGAAAAUGAAGUGUCUAAAGAGGGCCUUGCGGAAAGUGAACCCAUGAUAUGCCACACCCUACCUUUGCCUGAAGGGUUUCAGGUGGUUAAAGUGGGGGCCAAUGGAGAGGUGGAGACACUAGAACAAGGGGAACUUCCACCCCAGGAAGAUCCUAGUUGGCAAAAAGACCCAGACUAUCAGCCACCAGCCAAAAAAACAAAGAAAACCAAAAAGAGCAAACUGCGUUAUACAGAGGAGGGCAAAGAUGUAGAUGUGUCUGUCUACGAUUUUGAGGAAGAACAGCAGGAGGGUCUGCUAUCAGAGGUUAAUGCAGAGAAAGUGGUUGGUAAUAUGAAGCCUCCAAAGCCAACAAAAAUUAAAAAGAAAGGUAAAACGAGUUUAUCCAUAGUGGUUUCAUAAAACCAUUUUGGGAUAAGCAUACAACACAGUGCAUAUGCAAGUUGUUUUAUAUUAACCGUAUUUGUAAAAGGUCGUUAUGUGGGUACCGUUCUUUAAAACCAGUCUAAAAUAAGUUUUUUCCAGAUUGAAUGCUCUUUUUUUAAUCCCAAAGAAGAAGGAAAUGUAUUAGUGACAUGAGAUAAUUAUGACUUAUAUUGGGUUUUGUUAUUAAAAGCUAAUCAAAUAUAUUUGUAGAAAUUUAAGAUUAGGAUUAAUCUUAACACUUUGAAACUCUGCAGCAAGUAAGUGUUUUAUUUUGCACAUAGGUGUAAAGAAGACAUUCCAGUGUGAGCUUUGCAGUUACACGUGUCCACGGCGUUCAAAUUUGGAUCGUCACAUGAAAAGCCACACUGAUGAGAGACCACACAAGUGCCAUCUCUGUGGCAGGGCAUUCAGAACAGUCACCCUCCUGAGGAAUCACCUUAACACACACACAGGUGCUGGAUAAGAAUGUUGGGGGCU
rnacentral:sRNA from 1 species